GUACGGGAGGCAGCAGUGGGGAAUUUUGGACAAUGGGGGCAACCCUGAUCCAGCAAUGCCGCGUGAGUGAAGAAGGCCUUCGGGUUGUAAAGCUCUUUUGUCAGGGAAGAAAAGGUCGCCUCUAAUACAGGCGGCUCAUGACGGUACCUGAAGAAUAAGCACCGGCUAACUACGUGCCAGCAGCCGCGGUAAUACGUAGGGUGCAAGCGUUAAUCGGAAUUACUGGGCGUAAAGCGUGCGCAGGCGGUUAUAUAAGUCAGAUGUGAAAUCCCUGGGCUCAACCUAGGAACUGCAUUUGAGACUGUAUGGCUAGAGUGUGUCAGAGGGGGGUAGAAUUCCACGUGUAGCAGUGAAAUGCGUAGAUAUGUGGAGGAAUACCGAUGGCGAAGGCAGCCCCCUGGGAUAACACUGACGCUCAUGCACGAAAGCGUGGGGAGCAAACAGGAUUAGAUACCCUGGU
rnacentral:rRNA from 1 species